UGUCCUGCAGAUGAGACUAAAUAGUAGAUCGACAUAGCCCGGUUUCAUGGGACAUAACUCCACAACUCCACGGCUUUUGAUAAACAAAUACAACUCUAGAGUUUUUUUGUUUUGUUUGUUUUUUAACGCAGUCUGUCACCCGGACAGGUGAAUAACUUUCAUGAAUUGAGAAUAUAGUUUACUUGACUCUGUUUGACUUGUAUCACUGCCAGUAAAUAUCGUCUUAUCUCCAGCCGUCCGUAAACACAAUGAGACGUGAUGAGCAGUGAAUAUUGAACUCACCCCAUUAGCCAGUCCAUGUUGUUGCUGAUGCCAGCGGGAGAUGUUCAGCCGAGCUCCCGUUAAGCCUCGCUUUAUCUCACAGGACAACACACACCGGAUGGUGCAUGAAAGCAGACAUUCACACAGGUCCAUAAAUGGCCUCACUCUGCAGGAGAGAUGUGUGCAUUAUUCAGAGAGCCUCCCUGAAAACAAGCUCACAUCACACAGGUCAUGGCCUUUGGCUCUUCACUACUAUCAGCUCUGACCAUCAGCUGUGCAGCAAGAUGCAGGAGUACAACACACACUGCUCACAGGUACCCUCAAUACCAUAGAGAAGCCACUAGCACACAAACCUGGAACGUACAACAAGCGUAUAAAAAUAGAAAGUGUUCUCAGGAUGAUCAGCCUCAUCAGUAAAUUGUGGAAUAUUACACAUUGGAGAUAAAAGAACAAACCACGAUCAGAUGGCUUCUGUCCAUUUUUAAGACUUACUGUCUAAAAUAUGCUAACCCUUCCUCAAAUUGCAUUUCAGUGUCCUGCCCUCUAUAGCUGCAGGAAAACAAGGGCUGUAAGACCAGUAAGUCAUAUAGUAUUCUGGUGUGUGUACAUUUCUGGUCACUCGUCGCAAAUUCCAAAAUGUAAACCUAUGCAUGAAUACUGGCUUCACAGAUCAAGUAGGAGACCAUGACCAUAACGUAGGUUAAUAAGUCAAUUGAUAACACAUCAAUGAAUGUACUCUCUAGAAAUAUGAUUCAAGUUCAGAUCAUUCAGGUUCCAUGUUCCUGUUAAGUGAUAAUGAUUUUAUAACAGCUCAUAGCUCUGAGCGGGUAGGCAGCAUGCAACUGGGAAGCUUCAGUAAGCAAGAAUUCAACUGGCUGUUUGUAUUUCCAUGUAAAAACCACAAGGUCACCAAUGUUAUCCAUUUUAUAUUAAGCAUGUACUGUUGCAAUGACAGUACUACUAAAAGACAAAUUUGACUUUUAAAUAUAAAGACCUGCUAGUGCUAAAAUAGUGACAGCAUGAAGACAUAUUGUUAAGUAGGCAGCACACACAAAUUGUGUAAUUUGGGUCUCACAGGUUAUGUUGGUUACAUUUUAACUUGACAGCCUGCAUCCUUUUCCUCUACUGUGUACAUGGAGGACAGGUUAACAAAUCCUAACCAGUAAA